rnacentral:rRNA from 1 species
AUGGGGAUUUCCCGGAGCAAGCCGGCGCGGGAGUGGCCGCCGGCGCCGCCGCCGGAGCCUAGGGUGGAGGUGCCGCCCCUCAUCGAGCCCCCUCCCAACGCCGCCCGCACCAGGUGCCUGCCCCCUCCCGUCUCCCCUCGGAUGCAGGUGCCUGGGUAUGAGCAGUGGUUCGGGAAGCCCUCGUUACACAGCCUGUUCGACGACUACUUCAAUCAAGUUGGGAGCGUGAACGCAGGGGUCAUGCUCAAGAUGCUGCAGGAUCCUCAUGUCGAUUUGACUGCAACUGUAUCCAGCGACAGCCGUUCAUGA